rnacentral:rRNA from 1 species
GGCUCAGAACGAACGCUGGCGGCGUGCCUAACACAUGCAAGUCGAACGGGAUUUAGGGGCUUGCUCCUAAAUCUAGUGGCGCACGGGUGAGUAACGCGUGGAUAAUCUGCCUGACGAUCUGGGAUAACACUUCGAAAGGGGUGCUAAUACCGGAUAAGCCCACGAGCACUUCGGAGCUUGCGGGAAAAGGGGGGGACCUUCGGGCCUUCUGUCGUCGGAUGAGUCCGCGUACCAUUAGCUAGUUGGUGGGGUAAUGGCCUACCAAGGCGACGAUGGUUAGCUGGUCUGAGAGGAUGAUCAGCCACACUGGAACUGAGACACGGUCCAGACUCCUACGGGAGGCAGCAGUGGGGAAUUUUGCGCAAUGGGGGAAACCCUGACGCAGCAACGCCGCGUGAGUGAUGAAGGCCUUCGGGUCGUAAAGCUCUGUCAGAGGAAAAGAAGUGUGUUAUGGCUAAUAUCCAUGGCACUUGACGGUACCCUCAAAGGAAGCACCGGCUAACUCCGUGCCAGCAGCCGCGGUAAUACGGAGGGUGCGAGCGUUGUUCGGAAUUAUUGGGCGUAAAGCGCGUGUAGGCGGUUUUUUAAGUCUGAUGUGAAAGCCCUGGGCUCAACCUGGGAAGUGCAUUGGAAACUGGAAGACUUGAGUACGGGAGAGGGCAGUGGAAUUCCUAGUGUAGGAGUGAAAUCCGUAGAUAUUAGGAGGAACACCGGUGGCGAAGGCGGCUGCCUGGACCGAUACUGACGCUGAGACGCGAAAGCGUGGGGAGCAAACAGGAUUAGAUACCCUGGUAGUCCACGCCGUAAACGAUGAGUACUAGGUGUCGCGGGUAUUGACCCCUGCGGUGCCGCAGCUAACGCAUUAAGUACUCCGCCUGGGA